rnacentral:tRNA from 2 species
GCGGUCGUGGCGGAAUUGGUAGACGCGCAGCCUUGAGGUGGCUGUGCCCGAAAGGGCGUGGAAGUUCGAGUCUUCUCGACCGCACCA